rnacentral:lncRNA from 1 species
GGAGGAUCUUGGACUCAGGCUCCCACUAGUUGGACCCAGACUGCUGACUGCUUGACUAAGGUGGCUUACCUCCGUGCUGAGGUUGACCAUCAACUCGGAGGAUUUCAUCAGCCUGAAUGGGUAUGUGUUAACAAGCCAAAGAUUAUUCCCCCCAGUACAAGUAAAGCUCUCCAAAAUUGUUCUGCAACUUGUACGCAUACCCAGGCUAUGCAUGUCUCUUGUUAUGCGUCAGCCUCAAUUUGUGUUAACAAGCAGGGAGAACAAUUUUUUGAAGCCACCCUAACUAAAACUCAUGCAGCAGAGGGGACCACUAUUCAUUAUACCCCCCUCCUCUUUGACCGGGGAGGAGAAGGCAUAUAUACCAAGUUACAGUCAGCUGGAUGCCAAGGCACUGUUGGUAAACCCUCCUGCUGGCCCAUUAAGGCCCCUACAGGGGUCUCUGAUGGUGGAGGACCCACUGAUGCUGUCAAGCAUCUUCAGAUAAUCAAACUUUUGAAACCCCAAAUCCCUGAGCUCACAUAUCAUCCCUUAAUGCUGCCUAAAUCCCAGCUCCCAGAUUUAGAUACCAAUACAUUAGAUAUUUUGAAAACUACCUUCUCUUUGCUUAAUUCCAACCCCACCCUUGCUGGUGAUUGUUGGCUUUGCAUGACAACAGGGGCAAUCAUGCCUAUGGCAGUUCCUAUUAAUUCUAUCAUAGACAGUGAUAAUACAUGCCAACCUGGAUUUCCUUUUAAAGUACAGCCUAUAGGCACUUUUACAUCAUGUCUUUUAGGCGCGAUGCAGAAUAAUACCUAUGACAUUGAUGUUGGAGUUACUUCCUUUGGAAAUUGCUCAACAGUAAAAAAUUAUCCCUCACCCACCCCAUCUCUUUGUCCCCCCAAUGGCACAGUUUUUAUGUGUGGAGGAAACUCAGCCUUCCCCAGGCUUCCAGCGAAUUGGACCGGUGGCUGUGUUCUUGCCUUAUUACUCCCUGAUAUAACUAUUGUCCCAGGAGAUGAACCUCCACCCAUUCCUAGCCUAGACACCUUAGUCAAAAGACACAGGCGGGCAAUACAGGCCUUACCACUCCUUGCCAGCCUUGGAAUAACAGCUGCUGUGGGCACAGGUACCACUGGCUUAGGCACGGCUAUACACUCUUACCGUCACCUAUCUCAACAACUUAUAGAUGAUGUACAAACUCUAUCAGGAACCAUUAAAGAUUUACAGGACCAAAUAGACUCCCUGGCAGAAGUGGUCCUUCAAAACAGAUGAGGCUUAGAUUUGCUGACAGCUAACCAGGGAGGUAUUUGCUUGGCCUUAGGGGAAAGAUGCUGCUUUUAUGCCAAUAAAUCAGGCAUAGUACGCACUAAAAUUAAGCAGCUUCAAGAAGAUCUAGAAAAGAGAAGAAGGGAACUAUUUGAAAAUCCCCUCUGGACUGGGCUUAAUGGAUUUUUACCCUACCUUCUUCCCUUAUUAGGCCCUUUGUUGGGUUUGCUUUUAAUGGUGUCCAUAGGACCCUGCAUUAUAAACAGGCUGGUACAAUUUAUUAAAGAACAGAUUAAUAUUUUGGCCUCUAAGCCCAUACAGGUCCACUAUCAUCUUCUGGAGAUGGAAGACUGCGCUGCCAACAUUUAAAAGGAUGUUCUACCCUUCUUUCAGGCUUAUUUCUUAAGUUUACAUCCCCACAGAUCUCUCUUUCUUAUAUAAAAGUAUAAGUAACAGCUCUGACCAACCAUCUUCCUGCCCUUGCCAUAAGGGUUCGCUCCUCCAUGGGCCCCUCCGCUUGGGGGAGGACGCACCCAUGGAGUGAGGACGUUAGGC